rnacentral:lncRNA from 1 species
GUCAUAUUCAAGUGCCACUGGUUUGAUCCUGGACAAACUAGACGGACCCCUCAUCUUGGGCUAGUCGAGAUUAGACAUGAUUCCGUCUAUAUAGGAAAAGAUGUCUAUAUUGUGGCUCAACAGGCCGUGCAGGUGUAUCAUACGCCGUACGCGUGCACAGACAAAGACCAUCUUAAGGGUUGGUCUAUUGUGCACCAGGUAUCUUCGCAUGGUAAACUACCUCUUCCAAACGAUGAAGAUUACACCUUCGACACAAACACAUAUGAUGGAGAGUUCUAUCAAGCAGAUGGCCUAGAAGGGAGGUUUGAGAUAGUCUUACCCGGGAUAAUCGAUAUGGAAGUAGACAAUGAAAUGGUUGAUGACGACGACCCUGGAGAUGUAGUGGUGGAUCUUAAGGACAUUGAAAUGCUUGAGCGAUUCCAUUUAGGUAGAGACGAUGAAGAAAACACCGAACCUUCGGAUAGUGUUGCCCAUUUGGACAACUUUGACAGUGAUGACGAGACCUAUGACCCAGGGGAAGAUUAUUCCUAAAUCAUGUAAUACUAUGUUAAUUAUUAAAAUUUGUUAUGUUCAUUCAUUUUGAACUAUUUGUAAUACUAUGUUACUAACGCUUGUUGUUUAUUCUUUGUAAAUUUCAGGUGACAGAAACAAAGAUGGUGGCCAACCGUUCACCGAGGCAGGUAGCCUCAGUGUACCGGAGGCUAUGCCCUGCUGAUGGAGUCGAGGGGACGGGUCCGAGUCGUGGCCCGGGUCGCCCUAGGACGAGGAUGCUGUCGACGUUGAUGGGGACGAGGACGGCCCAGGGUCGCCCCAGGCGGGGCCGACCUCCUACCCCAGCUCACGACUAGUCGGAGGACCACCCGGAGGACCACGAGGUGGCCACGGACAAUCCGUCCGUGAACAACGGGGGCUAGGGAGACGGAUGAGGGGACUCAGCAGACGGAGGACAGUUCUGCUCACUCGACUCCCUACCUGCAAGGUGCCACAAGGCUUCCUAGUGUUCCGCAUCAUGAACGACGCCCACUGAUACGUCCAGCAGGAAGAAGGUAAGUAACUAUAGAUGUUAUCACUAGUACUUCAUAUGAUACGUUGAAAAUCCAAAGACAAGCUGAUAUUUUUCCUGAAUCACUUUUGCAGGGGCUGGCUAGUUUUGGAGGGUGCUCUUGAUCCCCCACGCACCCCUGCUACCAUCCUGGGAUGUCUGUGGAGGAAACACUUCCCCGGCCUUGUGGACUUGGGAGACGGGAGGUGGGAGCCGGCCUGGUCAUGGCAGAGGUACGCACUCGGCGAGGAUGACGAGAAGGCCAACAAGCAGGAGCGGGUUUUGGCGGACUUUUGGGUAAGUGUAUCAUAAUAAAGGUCAAUGCAUCUCAAUUGGUUAGUCUUUUAUUGAAAUAAUGCACGAAUACAUUAUGUUUGCACACAGAGUUACUUCAAGGCCGAACCAGGUCGAGAGAACCUGGCGGAUCAGACAGCACACAAAGCGUGUCAGAAGUAUGUCGGUGACAUGAUUCACGAGGCGAAACUCCAGGCCCACAUCGACUACUGCAGGUCCUUCGAAAAGUAUCCCCUCAAGAAGGCCGGUGCAAGAAAUGUGAAGCUGACCCGGGAGCAGUACCUUCAGGUACUUGAAUAAAAUUGAUUCAUUUUGAGAGUUUGCAGGUCCAGAAUUGAUCUUUCUUCUACGUCUAACAAUUGAUGAUGUGUAGGUGACGCCCGGCUGGUGCAUGUCGUAUAGAUCGGCAUGGGCGAUGAUCGUGGACAAGAGGUUCCUUGACCCGGCGCACAUCGAAAAGCAAGAGCUCGGCAGGCGGAAGCGGGCACUGAGGGCCGGUCCAACUCACCACCAAGGCAGCCGCAACCUCCCCAAUUUCAAGCGAGCACUUGUACGUGAUGUUAUUUAUCUAUUCUAACGCUCAUUUCUGCCCAUUUUCUAAUCAUGUUGCCGUCUUUCUCGCAGGAGGCUGCACAGCCGGAUGUGCCGGUGUCAGAGUUUGGGGCAUGGGCUGUGUCCCACAUGGGCUCGGUGAAAUCCGGUGUCACCUUCAACCCGGAUGCCCCUACCCAGGCUUACUCUGACCCGACCAUCCACGCUAAAGUCACGGAGUACACGGAGUCGGUGAGGGCGCUGCGUGGCCCAAACGUUGAUCUGCGCACUCAUCCCCUUGAGACAGAGGUGAUCGUGAGGCGUGGGCAAGGUAGGCAACAUGGGCGGUUGUGGAUUGCAGACGGCGCUCAGUCCUCUGCCUCUGCACCGUAUCUCUCCGAAGUGAGGGCACGAAGCACGAGCAGUAGCCUGCCCAUACAUGCACGCCCAACUGCAACAUUGUCUCGGGUCGACGAACUUACGGUAAUUCCGGUCUCACUCAUCACAUCUCAAACUAAACAAUGUAUUGAUGUGCAGCUAGCUUUCUCCUAGAUUUAGAAAUAUAUUCAAUUGAAACCCUUUGCUGAUUGUCUAUUAGUUUGAGAUGUGCAGAACUGAAAUAGUGCAGAACUGAAUGUCUAUUGCAGAACUGAAAUGUGCAGAAGUGAUAGUGCAGAACUGAAAUAUAUUCUAGGGGCUGAACUGAUGUGCAGCUAGCUUUCUCCUAGAUUUAGAAAUAUAUUCAAUUGAAAGCCUAUUUCUGAUUGUCUAUUAGUUUGAGAUGUGCAGAACUGAAUGUCUAUUGCAGAACUGAAAUGUGCAGAACUGAAAUAGUUCAGAACUGAUGUGCAGAACUGAAAUAUAUUCUAGGGGCUGAACUGAAAUAGUGCAGAACUAAUGUGCAGAACUGCUUAUGCUAAUAACACAUGUACCUGUGUCUAGAGGCUGUAACUCUUCUCUAUUAAUGAAAUUGGUACACUGACACAUGUGAUUGAAACACUGCAGGCCGAGCUGAAUGAAACAAAGGAGUCGCACGCGCAGCUGACCGCUCAGCACGCGCAGCUGACCACUCAGGUGGCGCAGCUGACUGCAAAGGUGACCCAGCUCAUUCAAAGCAUGGGGCAAGGACAAGGUGUGCUAGCGGCUGGACAUUACACUCCUGUGAGUAUGAAAGUUGAAUUAUGUUGGCCUUCGUGCCGUUGUGACUUCCGGCCAUCGUGCCGUUGGUAUUGUCGGCCUUCGAGCCGUUGGUAUUGUCGGCCUUCGAGCCAUUGUUUUCUUGUAGGUUGGAAACCUCCCCGUGCAGGGGAGGUGCUGCCCAAAUUUUUAAUUUUUGAUCGAGUCUAACGCAUGCCAUCUCCUCUCUUUUGUGCAGCCUCCAUCGGCGGGUUCAAACGCUAAUGCACCACCAGCGGUUGAUCCCGUCAAUCCUUCACCGACGACCGGGAGGCCACCCUUUGAGUCUUCGCCACAGUAGCCCGGGAGGCCACCCUUUGAGUCUUUGCCGCAGUAGCUAUGUUGACCUUUUAAUAAUAGAGUUGUCAUGUUGAACUUUAAUGCAUUUUGUGAUGGUCACAGUAGCCACGUUGAACUUUGAUGCAUUUGUGCGGGACAUGUCAUGUUGAACUUUGAUGUAUUCGCCACAGUACUUGUCAUGUUGAACUUUGAUGCAAUUGUGCGGGACUUAUAAUAUUGAACUUGUGAUGUUCAAUUUUAAUGGAUUUUCGAUGGAUUGAUGAAAUAUGUGAGUGCUUGUUAU